rnacentral:rRNA from 1 species
GACGAACGCUGGCGGCGUGCUUAACACAUGCAAGUCGAACGGAAAGGCCCUGCUUUUGUGGGGUGCUCGAGUGGCGAACGGGUGAGUAACACGUGAGUAACCUGCCCUUGACUUUGGGAUAACUUCAGGAAACUGGGGGUAAUACCGGAUAGGAGCUCCUGCUGCCUGGUGGGGGUUGGAAAGUUUCGGCGGUUGGGGAUGGACUCGCGGCUUAUCAGCUUGUUGGUGGGGUAGUGGCUUACCAAGGCUUUGACGGGUAGCCGGCCUGAGAGGGUGACCGGCCACAUUGGGACUGAGAUACGGCCCAGACUCCUACGGGAGGCAGCAGUGGGGAAUAUUGCACAAUGGGCGGAAGCCUGAUGCAGCAACGCCGCGUGCGGGAUGACGGCCUUCGGGUUGUAAACCGCUUUCGCCUGUGACGAAGCGUGAGUGACGGUAAUGGGUAAAGAAGCACCGGCUAACUACGUG